rnacentral:ncRNA from 1 species
CGGCACUGUUUCCACUACGGAUCGUCGGGCACGUACCUGCCCGUGGAAAGGAUUGUU